rnacentral:tRNA from 1 species
GCGGACAGUAACCGAGGUAGAUGGCAGAGCAUCUGCUUCCCAAGCAGAGGGUCACCGGUUCGAAUCCGGUCUGCCGCUCCA